rnacentral:misc_RNA from 1 species
GCAAGUUUACUAUCCAUUUAAAUCAAUACAAUCAAUUCGUAGCGAUUAAAUUAAUGAUUUAUUUCCUUUUAUUUAACAUUAACGAAAUCUUUGAAGUUUUUGAAAUAUUUAAAUGCAAAGUGUAUCUAUCGAGCGUCUAUAGAUGGAAUGUAGUUCUUCAUGUCCAAGGCCAAGGAAUCAACAUCGUAUUCAUGGAAUCAAGAAAGCAAGUGCAAUUUAAUCGAAGGCAACGAGAUCUCAUUAUCCUUUCAUGCGUACUACAAUUGCUAAGUCGCAUGGUUUGGUUUCUUCGACGAUGAGUUCAAUAUUCAAACAUGAUUACAUGGAUCCAUAUAUUGUACCUGUUCUAAUUAAUAAAUUUCAAUACACGUUAUAAAUUAAUUUUGCAUCUUCUGUUUUCGAUGCUUAAAAACUUCUUACGUAUAUGGGACUCGGUAAUUGGUAUCGUUUUCCAAAUAAUAAUACACAAAGUACUAUUUUGAAUAGUAGAAAAUUAAUGUAACGUUAAUUUUAAUAUUAGGAUUAGAUUGCUAUUGGAAAAUAUACAUAUUAAUAUUACCGAGUAUUACUAUUUGAAAAACGAUAUCUAGCUAAAAGCUACUUAAUAUAG